CAGUAGCCGCGGGAAUACGAAGGGGGCUAGCGUUGCUCGGAAUCACUGGGCGUAAAGGGUGCGUAGGCGGGUCUUUAAGUCAGGGGUGAAAUCCUGGAGCUCAACUCCAGAACUGCCUUUGAUACUGGGUAUCUUGAGUAUGGAAGAGGUGAGUGGAAUUCCGAGUGUAGAGGUGAAAUUCGUAGAUAUUCGGAGGAACACCAGUGGCGAAGGCGGCUCACUGGUCCAUUACUGACGCUGAGGUGCGAAAGCGUGGGGAGCAAACAGGAUUAGAUACCCCCGUAGUCCCUGUCUCUUAUAC
rnacentral:rRNA from 1 species